AUUGAACGCUGGCGGCAUGCUUUACACACGCAAGUCGAACGGUAACAGGCCUUCGGGCGCUGACGAGUGGCGAACGGGUGAGUAAUGCAUCGGAACGUGCCCAGUCGUGGGGGAUAACGCAGCGAAAGCUGUGCUAAUACCGCAUACGACCUGCGGAUGAAAGCGGGGGACCUUCGGGCCUCGCGCGAUUGGAGCGGCCGAUGUCAGAUUAGGUAGUUGGUGGGGUAAAGGCUCACCAAGCCAACGAUCUGUAGCUGGUCUGAGAGGACGACCAGCCACACUGGGACUGAGACACGGCCCAGACUCCUACGGGAGGCAGCAGUGGGGAAUUUUGGACAAUGGGCGCAAGCCUGAUCCAGCAAUGCCGCGUGCAGGAAGAAGGCCUUCGGGUUGUAAACUGCUUUUGUACGGAGCGAAAAGGCUCCCUCUAAUACAGGGGGCUCAUGACGGUACCGUAAGAAUAAGCACCGGCUAACUACGUGCCAGCAGCCGCCGUAACAC
rnacentral:rRNA from 1 species